UCUGAUUGGUUAAUAUUUUAAUUUGCAGGUGCGGUUGUAGCUCGAGAGUAUGGAAUACCAUGUGUGGUGGGACUUCAUGGAGCAACUUCGUGCUUUCAAACAGGUGAUCAAGUGCUUCUAGACGGAACUCGAGGAAUACUACAAAAAAUUGGCUGAAAUCAGAAAUUAGCGCUGCUGUUAUUUAAUUCAUAUUAUAAAAAAUAACUUCUCUUUAUUAAUAAGUAGUUGUUUUUCUAGUAUGGAAAGCAAUGUUAAACAAUAUUAUCACAAUAAAAUGUUUCAUUGUACAAA